UACAGAGGUCUCAAGCGUUGUUCGGAUUCAUUGGGCGUAAAGGGCGCGUAGGCGGCGAUUCAAGUGACGGGUGAAAUCCCUCGGCUUAACCGAGGAACUGCCUGUCAGACUGGAUUGCUUGAGUCCGGGAGAGGCGAGUGGAAUUCCCAGUGUAGAGGUGAAAUUCGUAGAUAUCAGGAGGAACACCAGUGGCGAAGGCGGCUUCCUGGACACCAACUGACGCUGAGACGCGAAAGCGUGGGGAGCAAACAGG
rnacentral:rRNA from 1 species